CUCAAACCACUAGAAGCAGGAUGGACUUAGAAACUCGUGAUGUUCCCAAGAAACAGACAAUACAUGCAAUCAGUCAGAAAAUAAGUGCAGAGUGAAGUAUGAGCAAAUAACAGACUGCAUGGAGAAGGAGGAACAUUCGCAAAGAAAGAGAGCUUGAAGUUCCCCAAGACAGAGUCCUCCAGAAGAUGGCAAUGAGAGAUGGUAUCUGAAUAUGCAGGAGGCCACAUCACAAAUGAGAAACUCCAAGUUCAGAAAACCUCCAUCUCUGACAGUCAGAAAGCAUGCAUGACCUUGCUUUCCCAGCCUUCCCAUUUGACUGUUCCCUGUACACAUGAUGCUGUAAGAUAUUCUCCAAAGGCCUUGUUCACAAGACAAGUAGACACCAUUCUCUAGGGAGGCUUGUCCUGCCACGGUCCCACCCCUUACUUCUACAACUAAACCCUGUGUUUUUAUUAGGGGGACAAAUGUCACCCAGCUGUACACCUGAGGCUCCUGGAAAGAAGGUAUGUUAGGUAGUCUAAGUAAGACUUUUUUAAGUUUCCAAGUGUAGAUUCUAUAAUGAUAUUUGUUGGAACAACUGAAUGAUGGAAAUCUAUAUGGUGUCUUAUUUGCCCAUACCAGAAAAGUAAGUACAGUGUGUGUUUUCCUUCCAGUUGAUGAGUAGUAUUCCAAGGAAUGGGAUGGGGAAACAUUCAUAGGUGUUUGUUUGUUUGUUUGUUUGUUUGUUUGUUUGUUUUUUACAGAAGUUCUGCCAAGCAAAAACCAGGCUAGGCUAACUCUUCAUUGUUUAGAAUUCUUUUGUCAGUCAACGUUAGGGUCAUCCAAAAGAGGAAGGGCUAAAUCACCACCCUGUCUUGAGGGGAGGCUAAGCAUACUUGAGGAAAAUACAGAGAAUUGGUGUCUCCUUGCCUCCAUUAUUUGGAGGUUGUGAGGUAUCCCUACAUCAGAUUCCUAUUCUUGUCCCUAAAAUUUGUUAUAAAUGUCAACAGAAAACAACACUAGUCUGGUCAGUUGUUCUUGUUGUUAUUGUGGUGAGAUGUGUGUGUGUCUUGGCUUUUUUGUUUGUUUGUUUGUUUUUCAACGUUUCCACUUUUCAGUAAUGCAGAAGAAAGUUCAAUUAAAGUAUUACCUUGACCAGAUUGGUUUGUGGUUGAGUCUGUGAUAAAUUGUCUUGACUGAUUAUUAAUGUGGGAGGACCCAGAACACUGUGGCUGGCACCAUAGCUGGCUAGAUGGGCCUGGGAUAUCUACAUGAAAGCUGGCUAAGCAAACUAGAGAGCAAGGUUACAUGUCCCUCCAUGGUUUUUACUUUAUUUUCUGUUUGAAAUCCUGCCCUGACUUCCUUCAGUGAUGAACUCUGACAUGGAAGUGUAAGCUAAAUUCUUUCUUUGCUUGAGUUGGUUUAGGAGGGGGCAUUCAUCCCAGCAACAGAAGGAACCCAGAACAUGCACCUUAACGCCCACACUCUGAGCACUGAGUAAGCUCCAGGAGGCAUAGUUGCUACUUCCCACUGAAACAGCUGGGGCCAGGCCAACUGCGUUCUUCAGUAGAUGGACUCCACAGCCUAAGGAAAUACGGGCUUGCUUCUCUUGGAGUUGGCGCCUAGUAGGAAAAGAGCUGCUGCUGUGAGUUUUCUCUUGACCACACCUCAAACUGCCAGGGUGACGGCAUGAUCAAAGACUGAAGAGGAACAGCAAGAGGAGGCAGGAGUGAGUCUGAAACACUGCUGCAAAGGACUACGAGAAGUCUUGCACUGUUCAGGAGUGGUCCUGCAGGAAUGUGCCUUCUUACUUAUGGGACUUUGUAUAUCCAGCAAAGACUUGGUUUGUAGACCUGAAACUCAGUUCUUUUGAAAAGGUGAGGAAUAGUGGCCACAGAGCACACAGGCAUUCUGAGGGAGGAAAGGGCUAAUGUACGAGUGGAGGCCACAAAAGGCCUGUUCGAAGCUGCAGAGGAAGCAGUGCGUACUCUUGCUAAGGAGAUAGUAGAGAGAGGCUUCCAUGGGGCAGUGGGGAGUGGAGCUAGGGAGCCACUAUUCCCAGAGAAUCAAAGCUGAUUGCUCCUCUAAAUAUUUAUUGACAUCUAAAUAUUCUGAUCUCAUUAUUCUUCAGGAUUCUUAGUAUCUGUGGUCAGCUGAUAAUGUACAUUCCCAAAGAUGCUCAUGCAGGACUCCCCAGCACCUCUUGAAGGAAAAACACCAUAUAUCAGGGAAGGAGACAUGGUCCAUGGACAUAAUAAAAGGUUUGAAAGCAAGAACAUUUGAGUUCUGGUCAUUGGGAACUUACUUCAGCCUGGUACUAGGGCACAUAUGCGGCAUUUGGAUUUCAGACAUAUAAUGUCUCAGAACACCCAGAAAAACACUCUGACUACUACUGUAGCUUGGACUUUUUUAUCCCUUCAAAUGCAAAAUGUUCCACAAUUCAAAACUUCUUGAGUGCUAACACAACACCACGAAUAGAAUACUUCACACCAUGAAAUUGUUCUAUGGGCAAUUUUUUUUAAAGUUGUGGAUAAAAUUACCUUCAAGAUAUAUGUAUAAGAUCUGUAUGAAGCAUAAAUGAAUACUGUAUUCACAAUGGGUUUCCCCUGAAGACAUGCAAACAUUUCAAACUCAUAAAUAGUUCCAUGUCUGAAAUGCUUCUGGUCCCAAGCAAUUUGAAUGAGGAGUUUUCAACCUAUACAAGCAAGGACACCAGGAGUAUGAUUGAGCUUCUAGACCACAUGACUAGCUCAUGGGUCUCUCAUGACUAAAGCACUGCUUGCUGUAGUUCUACCAAAACUGUACAAGAGGAGAUGGUGCACAAAGCUAACUGGGCUUACAGUAUUUCACAGAGAUGGAGAGGAAGUCAGUCAGCAUCCUGACUAUCGGAUCUAGAAUGAUAAAUAACAAUUUGCACAUGGAUCAAGGAGGCUGUCUAGGUUUGUGGAGAAGAGAAAUGGGAAACAGUGCAAGCAAAAGCCUGAGGACUAAAAGACAUGUAAGUUUGGAGACCAGGGAAGAGAUGUGUGGAGAAGAGCUUAUGCAGAGAGAACUGGGAGAUGAAUCUCACAAGAGUGGAGGGAAAGGCAAAGAUGUAGAACUCAGACUCUGGGUGCUGAGAAAUGGGAGUAAAUAUAGCCAAAUCCUCACUUAAUGGAUUGCUCCAGCUGUCAGCAAGGAGCAGUGGUAACCAUAUGGCCAGAGUCAGAGAGGAUAGGGGAAAUCAUUGGCUGUGAAUGCAGAGAGAAUUUCAACAGAGAGAAGGCACAGGAAGCCCUUUGCUCAGUCCAGUGUGUCCCCUGCCUUCUCUAUCACCAAGCCCUCUUUGGUGGUAGAACCACAUAGCCCACCAGCUUAGAGACUCCCGAUCACUUCCAGUCAUGCUCUGAAGAAAAGCAAGCCCAGUGUACACACAGCCCUUUCUGUGCUGGAGCUUCUGAGAGCUUGACUCGGACAGCUUUUCAAAUCUCUAUGAAAAUUCCUCCCUGACCUUUUCCAUCUUGAAGAAACUCUAUGGAAGAAGGAAGCUAAAAUGAGGGCACCAAAGACAAAAUCCUAACUCUGGAGAAAGCGGACUCUCUCUCUCUCUCUCUCUCUCUCAGCCCUCUUGUUUGCUAUGACUAAAAGCAAAAA